rnacentral:rRNA from 1 species
CCUACGGGAGGCAGCAGUGAGGAAUAUUGGUCAAUGGGCUUACGCCUGAACCAGCCAAGUCGCGUGAGGGAAGACUGCCCUAUGGGGUGUAAACCUCUUUUGUCAUGGAGCAACGCCGGCUACGUGUAGACGGACUGAGAGUACCUGAAGAAAAAGCAUCGGCUAACGCCGUACCAGCAGGCGCGGUAAUACGGAGGAUGCGAGCGUUAUCCGGAUUUAUUGGGGUUAAAGGGUGCGUAGGCGGAAUGCCAAGUCAGCGGUAAAAUCGAGGGGCUCAACCUCGCUCCGACGUUGAAACUGGCGUUCUUGAGUAGGCGAGCAGUAUGCGGAAUGCGUUGUGUAGCGGUGAAAUGCAUAGAUAUCACGCAGAACUCCGAUUGCGAAGGCAGCAUACCGGCGCCCAACUGACGCUGAAGCACGAAAGCGUGGGUAUCGAACAGGAUUAGAUACCCUUGUAGUC